UACGUAGGAGGCGAGCGUUGUCCGGAAUCACUGGGUGUAAAGCGCGUGUAGGCGGCCUGCCAAGUCUGCUGUGAAAGCGCCUGGCUUAACCGGGCGAGGUCGGUGGAAACUGGCGGGCUGGAGGACGGUAGAGGGGGGUGGAAUUCCUGGUGUAGCGGUGAAAUGCGCAGAUAUCAGGAGGAACACCGGUGGCGAAGGCGGGUCUCUGGGCCGAUACUGACGCUGAGGAGCGAAAGCGUGGGGAGCGAACAGG
rnacentral:rRNA from 1 species